AUACCCAAAAAUGAAGAACUAAACACAGAAACGCCAAGGAAUGUAAUCAUAAAGUACAAAUUGACCAAAGCUUUCGUCAUCGAUGGAUCUUCUUCAAACUUUCGUUCUCUUCUUUGUUUUUUCUUUUCCUCCU
rnacentral:ribozyme from 14 species